rnacentral:rRNA from 1 species
GACGAACGCUGGCGGCGUGCUUAACACAUGCAAGUCGAACGGAAAGGCGCUGCUUUUGUGGGGGGCUCGAGUGGCGAACGGGUGAGUAACACGUGAGUAACCUGCCCUGGACUUUGGGAUAACUUCAGGAAACUGGGGCUAAUACCGGAUAGGAGCUCCUGCGGCAUUGGGGGGGUGGGAAAGGGUCGGCGGUUGGGGAUGGACUCGCGGCUUAUCAGCCUGUUGGUGGGGUAGUGGCUUACCAAGGCUUUGACGGGUAGCCGGCCUGAGAGGGUGACCGGCCACAUUGGGACUGAGACACGGCCCAGACUCGUACGGGAGGCAGCAGUGGGGAAUAUUGCACAAUGGGCGGAAGCCUGAUGCAGCGACGCCGCGUGCGGGAUGACGGCCUUCGGGUUGUAAACCGCUUUCGCCUGUGACGAAGCGUGAGUGACGGUAAUGGGUAAAGAAGCACCGGCUAACUACGUG